AAAAAGCUGUUCGAAAUUCAGUAUCCACUCCUUCAUAUUUCGACAUCACUUCGAAUUGUUGGGUAGUUGAAUUGAACCACUAAACUCCAAAAUCCGGCGAAGAGAAAGUUGUAGUUUUUUCUGGCGAAGUAAGGAACCUCCGGCGAGAUAGCAACUUUCGCUAUGGCUGGGAAUAAAGCAAACGACGAAGUCCCGACGAAGCAGCAUACCCAAGAUAGUGGUCCAGAGAAGGAGAAGCGGGUAUUAAGAGUUUCCCCGCGGAGAAAACGCUCUUCGACAAAGGCAACGGAGGAACUGGGUUAGUAUCUCUAAUUUACCGUUUGUUGUCUUUGAGUGUAUCAGAAUCGUAAAGCUUGUUUGAUUAAAGGGUUAGAACUAGUCAGAAUUUAGCAUAUCUUUAGGAUGGAAUUUUGAGUUAUAAUCUGGAUAAUUUUUGUGUACGUACACUAAUUCAUAUUGCUUAACUGUAUAUCACUUUUAAUUGCAAGCAGUCCAAGUGUUGCUCCGACUGAAGAUCUUAUAGUUGAAGAGUUACCACCAAGACUCUUUGCUCUAUACUGGUACCCUUCCAAGACGAAGAUGAACGCGUACUCUAAACCGGAGUACAUUUAUGACAUAGCAAAUG
rnacentral:sRNA from 1 species